rnacentral:rRNA from 1 species
UAUCCGACCUCAGAUCGGGCGAGAUU